rnacentral:pre_miRNA from 1 species
UCUUCAUUUCACACACUCUCUCACCGGUCAGAGAUGCGAGAGAGUGUGCGAAAUGAAGAGA